AUAUAAAGUAUAUAAAAAUAAAAAUAACACGCAAAUAAUUAGAAUCGUGCGAAAGAGAUUAGGAAAAGCAAUGGCAAUUAAACGGGUGUACGCAUCACUUUGUUUUUCGAAAGAAUUAUUGAACGAGGAGAAUUUACAAUAACGUGAUCGUCACGUGGGUAACAAUAGAAUGAUAAGAUACGAGGUAAAAUAUGAGAACGUUAGAUAAAGAAGCGUAUUUGCAUCGGGUAUGAAUAUACAUAUACGCGUGUAAUAUAUAGGGGCGGAGAGAAAAUUUUACCGAACGAAAUUGGCUUUCGCCGGUUGUUUACCGACCGACCAUGAUUACGUUUUUGAUAGCCUUUUAACACAACACAAGAAAGAAAGACGAUUCAUUCACAUGUCCCGAUGAUAAAAAAAAAAAAAAAAAAAAUGGAGUUGUUGGAACAUGGGGAAAGGAAUAAAAGAGAAUAUUUUAUUACACUACAUUGUUCGCAUGGAGAAGUGAAAGUAAUUUUUAAUUAAAUAUAAAAAAAUAGCUACGGUAAUUAAAAAUUAACAUUUUGAAUAAUAUUUUAAUGGUGAAAAAUUUAUUUACCGGCAAAUGUAGAAAAAUUUAUUUUUUUCAAACGGAAAAAUAGAAAAAUUGUUUUGUUAUGAAAGAGGUACAUAACGUCAUUUAUAACCUUCAUUAUAAUUCGAUCUGAUAUAUCGCGAGUAACAUUUGAUUUUUCUACUUUUGAUGAAGAUUUAAAAACAAUAUAAUCUUAGAAAAUAAUCGCACACUUUAACCAGACUUUUUAAAGCAAUUUUCAUUCGGAAUUAUAUUUUAAAUACGAUACUGUAUUUGAUGGAAUAAAGAAUAUAUUUCCUGUUAA